GAUGAACGCUGGCGGCGUGCUUAACACAUGCAAGUCGAGCGAAGCGCUUUGGAAAGAUUCUUCGGAUGAUUUCCUUUGUGACUGAGCGGCGGACGGGUGAGUAACGCGUGGGUAACCUGCCUCAUACAGGGGGAUAACAGUUAGAAAUGACUGCUAAUACCGCAUAAGACCACGGUACCGCAUGGUACAGUGGUAAAAACUCCGGUGGUAUGAGAUGGACCCGCGUCUGAUUAGGUAGUUGGUGGGGUAACGGCCUACCAAGCCGACGAUCAGUAGCCGACCUGAGAGGGUGACCGGCCACAUUGGGACUGAGACACGGCCCAGACUCCUACGGGAGGCAGCAGUGGGGAAUAUUGCACAAUGGAGGAAACUCUGAUGCAGCGACGCCGCGUGAAGGAUGAAGUAUUUCGGUAUGUAAACUUCUAUCAGCAGGGAAGAAAAUGACGGU
rnacentral:rRNA from 1 species